AAAUUGAUGAAUUAUAACAGAUCUAGGUAGAAUUUAUCCACCCCCAUCCCUACCCCCUUUUUGGGUAGAUAACAGAAAUGUGCAAUUCACUGUACUAUGGAGACUGGAAGGUCUACUACAUUUAUUGCUGUGCCAGUUCUCCUUAUAAGUUGUUGUUGCUGCUUUUGUUUUAUUUAUUCUGUCUAUGGGUGUGUUUGUUUUCUGUUUGUUUUUCUGUCUUUCUAGGUAGCCUUAGCUGGCCUGAUACUUGCUAUGUAAUCCAAAUUGGCUUUGAACUCCUAGCAAUCCUCCUGAGUUAACUCUCCGUGUGCUGGGAUUACAGGCUCUGACAAAAUGCCUGGGAGAAACAACUUAAGAGAAAAGGGUCUAUUUUGGCUCAUGUCAAAGGAUCCCAACUACGAUGGUGAGGCAGAUAUUGUGGUAGAAGUGGCUGAGUUAAGUUCUUAGUCUGUGUUGAUGUGAGUACCAAGCAGAUGGUCACUUCAUGAGGAGAAAACAGGGAGCUAGACUGGAUCCAGCGGUAUGUAUGGGAAGCUGCUUCUGUUUGCAAGGCCACAUAUUCCUAGUUCACAGCCUCAUACAACAGUGCCACAAGCUGGUGAGUUUUCAAAUACGUGCACUCCCAGGAACAUAAUAUAUGGAAAUAAUCUUGCAUCUCCUCACUGGUAAUCUUUGUCCGGGUGAACUGGAAGGGUCCUUAGAGUAGGAGUGAGCUGGAUUGCUAAACAGAGUUCCAUUAUUCUCCUAUCAGAUCAAUAAAUUUUCACUUGUUCUGAGGUACUAUUUAUGGAUUAGUAAAAUACCCACAAUAACAUCUACAGACAGAAAGGUAUAGGCCUCUAGUUCCCAUUCUUGACCUGAAUCCCUUUUCUAGUUGGGAAUUUCUUGCUUCUCUUUUUAUUUUUUUUUCACCUGAUCAAGUUACAAGAAUUAGAUGAUAUAUAUAGAUACACAUACAUACAUACAUAUAUAUAUUAGAUAUAAUUCGCCUAUAUUUCAGCUAGAAGAUAACUUUUGGAGAAAAACAAUUUUUUUUCUGCUUAGUUGUGAGAAAAUGCCAGCAACAUAAAUUUCAGACCUCACAAAUAAGAACCAAUUUUUCUUUCAAUAGAAAUGAGCGGAGUGUUCGAGUAGAGAAUUGUCACUAUCAAUACUUGCCCAAAAGACUGAAUGGUCAUUAUCUAUUCCCAAGUUGUGAUAGAUAUGAAACAAGCAAUACCAUAAUGUUUUGCUUUCCUCCCUCUCACAGGGAAGGAGCAAGGGGCUUUGAGGGAGCCUUCUGAGAGGAGGAAGACCAUACUUAAUGCUAAUAACACGGGGAAGACGGAGACUGGGGAUUGCAGUACAGAGUUUUGAGUUUCCAAAAAAUUUUUGAUAAUGAUCCUGUUCUAGGGAUUUGAUGAGCGACAAACAUAAAAAUUUUAAAGUGAUCCAGAAACCUUUAAAACGAGAUCUAUCAUAUGACAAAUGCUCAUAAAUAGCAUGAGGAUUAGAUAAAAGAGGUUACUGACUUCCUCAAGGUGCCCAGAAAAUAACUGACAGCAUCCCAAGAACACAGUCCUUACUGUCCAGUACAAGCUCCUCUUCACUGUCCCAAGCCACACAUGUACUCUGAGCACACGUGUUAAUGAGACUCGUAUUGUGUAGUAAUUCUACUCUGAAGUUUGUUGCUUUGGCCUAUGGAUAGAUUGAGAACCUUCGAAGCAAUUAGCACCAAUGAUUGUUAGAAUGAGAGGAGCAAGGUUAGUGAUCUGCUCUAAAGAAGCAAGUGGCACCAUGCUGUGUGAGCUGACCAUUAGUCAGCAUCACUUUAACCCAGGAAAGCCUGCUGCUGAAGUGGCCUAAGGUGAUGAAUCACAAGGAGCAUCUUGCUCUUGACUUGGCUGCCAUUAAAGUGAUGCCAAGCACCACAUAACCAACUGAAAGGCGUCAAGGGGUUGGCAAGCCACUUGCACAACAGAGUUUGAUGUUAAGCAUCUGGGAGUUUCCAGCAUAUGAAGGAUACAUGGGGGUUCCGAAAUUACCUACAUCACUGAGCACUGUACAGCUGUCACUUAAUAUUUAAACUGGAUGAGAAAUCACAAAAACUCUGGUUUCUCAAAAGCAGAACUACAAGCUGUCAAAGUUGUUGGGUCCUUGGAGGCUAUCCCAACUUAAUUACUUAUUUCACAAAUGGAGAAACGUGCCAUUAUUCAUGUGGGCAGAAGAAAGAAUACGGAGCUAGAAUCCUUCCUGGGUAUCUUGUUUUAGGGGAUUAUAGACAUAGACUCUUAAGGAACACCAUCUGUGCAAGAGGCACAGCGCACUGACUAAAUGCAUGCUGAGAGUCUCCUGGUUAAAUCCACCCUCUUCCUGUUUCACUUCACAUGCAGAUGCUGGAAAGGGUAGGGACCUAAUGAGAGGCAGCAGUCAGCCCCUCCCAGCUGUUCUUGCUCUAACCACAUCCUGGUCAGGUGCCAUUAUUCCCUGGCUCCCCUGACUUAUUCUUCACACUGUCCUCACUGAUGAUGGCUUUCCUAAAGCACUGUUGCCCUUCCAAAAACACUCCAACAAGGCAAUUUAUAGCUGACCUAUGUUUUUCUAAUAAUGUUUUCUCUCCUCUCUUCAUCCUGGAAAUCCACGUGUCUCAGUUGCUCUCAAUCACUGCCACGAGUCUGGUGAUGCGCUAAGCUCGGGGCAGGAUCUCAAGGGCUUUGAGGAUGUCUGCAUCAUCUGUAUUGACCUGCUCCCCAGAUUAAUACCGAAGCACUGCAAUUUCUUGAGGAUUAUCCACCUAGGAGGAAAUGAUACGCUGGCCCAUCCAUAGUAGUCAAGGUUUCUUGGAAGAGAAGAAUGAGAUUGGAUCUGAGAAAAUGUGGCUGGGAACCACCAUCUCAGAUGGUAGAAACCACUCAGAAGGAUCAACUGCUGCAGACGGGAAGAGGAGCAACCUCGUGAAUAAUUUCGUGACAGGAUAUUGCAGGAGGGACUUUGUCCAAAUGUGUGCAGGGUAGUUGGCUACAGCAACAAGGAUGACGAACACAGAUGAAUUGAUCAGGAUGUAACCAUUCAAAGUUGAGAGGAUUAGAGGACUUCUCCGAGGCGGCUCCAAUGGAUGCCAGCAGAGUUAAAGUGUCCAAUGGAGAGAAGAGAAGGCUUGGGAAAUCCAGAGUCCAUUCAUUCAUCGCCCUCCUCCUAGAACAACAAAAGCGAGCCCCAGUACUCAUCAGCAUGGACUCUGUGUGUAGUCAUCUCCCUUAGUUUCAGAGGUUCCUGCCUACAGCAAAACUUUAGAGGCUUAGAGUUUAACGGUCAUAGCUUAUUCACCUCCAACUGUGUCCUAGUUCAAGAGAAACACUUCACAUAUCUGUAGGGAGAAGAUAAUGAACCAAGGAUACAAGUUAAGCCUUAGCUAAGACCUGUUACUCAGGAAAAAGAGCUAAAACAAGCUGCUUAGAUCAGCACCAAUGUUAGGUAGAGAGAAAAAGAAACGCUGCAUAGAAAUCUUAAGGUUCACAUGUGCUCCAGGCUGGGUCAACAACUUCUAAUUUCCUUUGCCAACCAACCAUGUCUUUGACAGAAAUGAUCCUUCUACAUAGACCACAGAGGGAUCCAAUGGAGGUUUCUCUUCCUGAAUUUGGGGAUUCAGAAUCUGGACAAAUUCCUUUCCAUCAAAGUCCAGUACAAAAGUAGUACCAUGGCAGUCCCUGCAGGGACUUGCAUCACUUUCCCUAGAGAUAUCAAGAGAAUUUUUAGUGAUAAGAAUAUGGCACAAAAUGAGAAAUCCCAUUACUCUUAAGAGAAUCUCUUCCUUCUCAAAGGCACCUGAUUAAUACAUAUAGUACUAUCAGUAAGGCUGAGCAAAAGGAUACUGAUGUUCUGAGUGAUCUUAAAUCAUGUAAUAAUAACUUUAUUCGUAGUAUAGAACGGAAUAUUCCCUAUUAGUAAUCAGUUCCUUUGCCAGAUCCUCAUAGUAUCUUAGUCACUGUUUUAUUGUUAUGAAGAGAAACUUUGACCACAGCACCUCUUAGAAAAAAGGAAGCAUUUAAUCGGGACUUCCUUAUGGUUUCACAGUUUUACAUAAUUGUCAACAUGGCAGAGAACAUGGGGGCACGCAAACAGACAUGGUGCUGGAGAAGUAGCGGAGAAUAUACAGCAACAUAUAGAUACAAAAUAUAGAUACAUAUAGAUACAGAAUAUAGAUACAUAUAGCUACAUAUAGAUCUGCAGGCAGCAGGAAGAGACUGGGACAAGGCCAUACCUUCUAAGGCUUCUCAAGGAGUGUCACUUCCUGAUGACCAAGCAUUCAAGUGUAUGAGCUUAUGGGAGCCAUUCUUAUUCAAGCCACCACACAUAGCAAAGCUGAUAAUGUCAUUUUCUGAAUUAACCAGGCCAAGGCACACUUCUUAGCAACAUGGUUACCUGGUAACCAGAGAUUUUUCUCAUCCCAUGAGAGAUUUCAUUCAAGAACUGAUCUUCUAACAGUUUUGUCUCUCUUAAGAAUGCUACAGACAGGGUGGGGUGAGGCACAGUGCUGAAGCCCCUCAAGUUUCCCAGAGGGAUGAGUCCAUGAAAGACGAAAAUCAUGUGGUCACACUGAGCAUAGACUUCACAAGCAUCAUGCUAGGAUUCCAUUUUCUUUCUCAACACAAUGAUAAAUUCUUCUUCCAAUAAGCAGAAAAUCAUCCAAUGGGAAAAAAAAAUAAAACCAACUAACUUGCAGUCCUUUGGAACAGUUUCAUAGCUUACAGGAUGGCUUCAUAACCCUGGGGACACUCGUUUUGACAUGAAAACUUCCUUCAGAACAGGAAUUCUGAUCCAACAUGUGCUCAGACAUCAUUUCAGUCACUUGCAAAUGAACAAGAAAGCUCAUGUAAAUGAGGAGGCUCAACUCCCAGGCCUGGUGAGUGGGUAAGACAUUCCUCUGCUGGGUUUUGAAGGCUGUCUGAAACCAUCGGCUGACAUCCUUCUCUGUGUGCAUGUAUGCACUAUCUACGGGAAAUUCAGCUCCAACCGGUUGUCUCUACAGCUCCCUUAAUCUUCUCCUCCCUCCUCCUGGCAUUGGCAUGUGUCCCAGGACUGCAGCGAGGAGUGCUUACCAACAAAGGUGCUGGCAUCUGCAUUUGUUUCACAGCCACAAACCUAAUGGUUCCAUGAUUUUGGCGAGCAAAACUGUCAAAAUGCCUGAGCACAAGAGAUCACAAGAUGAGCCAAGGCAUAGUGUGCAUGCCUUCCUUCCCAGCACUCGGAAGGCAGAGGCAAGGGGAUCUCUGUGGGUUCAAGGCCAGCCUGAAUCACAAGGUGUACUGGGGAUUCUUUUUUAUUGUUUUCCUUUUGCUAUCUGGAAUAGUUUGAGAUUGUAUUUGAUCAGUGCAUUAAACAAC
rnacentral:lncRNA from 1 species